UGGGGGAUAUUGCACAAUGGGCGAAAGCCUGAUGCAGCGACGCCGCGUGGGGGAUGAAGGCUUUCGGGUUGUAAACCUCUUUCGCUAUCGAACAAGGCCCGCUUAGGGUGGGUUGAGGGUAGGUGGAGAAGAAGCGCCGGCUAACUACGUGCCAGCAGCCGCGGUAAUACGUAGGGCGCGAGCGUUGUCCGGAAUUAUUGGGCGUAAAGGGCUUGUAGGCGGCUUGUUGCGCCUGCUGUGAAAACGCGGGGCUUAACUUCGCGCGUGCAAUGGGUACGGGAAGGCUUGAGUGUGGUAGGGGUGACUGGAAUUCCAGGUGUAGCGGUGGAAUGCGCAGAUAUCUGGAGGAACACCGAUGGCGAAGGCAGGUCACUGGGCCAUUACUGACGCUGAGGAGCGAAAGCAUGGGUAGCGAACAGG
rnacentral:rRNA from 1 species